AUACGUAGGGGGCAAGCGUUGUCCGGAAUGAUUGGGCGUAAAGGGCGCGUAGGCGGCCUUGUAAGUCCGAUGUGAAAUUCCUGCUUUUAAGGUAGGAAUUGCAUUGGAAACUGCGGGGCUUGAGUGCAGGAGAGGUAAGUGGAAUUCCCGGUGUAGCGGUGAAAUGCGUAGAGAUCGGGAGGAACACCAGUGGCGAAGGCGACUUACUGGACUGUAACUGACGCUGAGGCGCGAAAGUGUGGGGAGCAAACAGGAUUAGAUACCCUGGUAGUCCACACUGUAAACGAUGAAUGCUAGGUGUAGGAGGUAUCGACCCCUUCUGUGCCGGAGUCAACACAAUAAGCAUUCCGCCUGGGGAGUACGGCCGCAAGGUUGAA
rnacentral:rRNA from 1 species